rnacentral:rRNA from 1 species
UGGGGGAUAUUGCACAAUGGAGGAAACUCUGAUGCAGCAACGCCGCGUGAAGGAAGAAGGUCUUCGGAUUGUAAACUUUUGUCUUCGGGGACGAUAAUGACGGUACCCGAGGAGGAAGCCACGGCUAACUACGUGCCAGCAGCCGCGGUAAUACGUAGGUGGCGAGCGUUGUCCGGAAUUACUGGGUGUAAAGGGCGUGUAGGCGGGAAAGCAAGUCAGAUGUGAAAUACCGGGGCUUAACUCCGGGGCUGCAUCUGAAACUGUUUUUCUUGAGUGUCGGAGAGGAAAGCGGAAUUCCUAGUGUAGCGGUGAAAUGCGUAGAUAUUAGGAGGAACACCAGUGGCGAAGGCGGCUUUCUGGACGACAACUGACGCUGAGGCGCGAAAGCGUGGGGAGCAAACAGG